rnacentral:lncRNA from 1 species
CGCGAUCAGUCCCUUUCAGCUUCAACGUUGCAGCCAGAGGAAGCAGCAGGCCCUAUCUCAAGGCCGCUCCACCUUGGAGGGAGGUCCCACUACCCGUGCCCUCUGAGGACCAUGGAGUAAGUAGCAUCUUUAUCUUAUAAAUAGUGCUGUGUCAAUACCUCCUUUACUGAUUCCCCAAGAUUCCUUUGUGGUAUGUUCUGGGGCCUGAAUUGUCUCC